rnacentral:rRNA from 1 species
CCUACGGGAGGCAGCAGUGGGGAAUUUUGGACAAUGGGCGCAAGCCUGAUCCAGCCAUGCCGCGUCUGGGAAGAAGGCCUUCGGGUUGUAAACCACUUUUGUCAGGGAAGAAACGGCUUUUUCUAAUACAGAGAGCUAAUGACGGUACCUGAAGAAUAAGCACCGGCUAACUACGUGCCAGCAGCCGCGGUAAUACGUAGGGUGCAAGCGUUAAUCGGAAUUACUGGGCGUAAAGCGUGCGCAGGCGGCUUUGCAAGACAGAUGUGAAAUCCCCGGGCUCAACCUGGGAACUGCAUUUGUGACUGCAUGGCUAGAGUACGGUAGAGGGGGAUGGAAUUCCGCGUGUAGCAGUGAAAUGCGUAGAUAUGCGGAGGAACACCGAUGGCGAAGGCAAUCCCCUGGACCUGUACUGACGCCCAUGCACGAAAGCGUGGGGAGCAAACAGGAUUAGAUACCCUGGUAGUCCACGCCCUAAACGAUGUCAACUGGUUGUUGGACGGCUUGCUGUUCAGUACGAAGCUAACGCGUGAAGUUGACCGCCUGGGGAGUACGGCCGCGAAGGUUGAAACUCAAAUGAAUUGACGG